GUUGUAUGGUUAAGUGACAAAGCGUACAAGGUGGAUGCCUUGGCAAUCAGAGGCGAAGAAGGACGUGCUAAUCUGCGAAAAGCUUGGAUGAGUCGAUAAGAGGCGUUUAAUCCGAGAUGUCCGAAUGGGGAAACCCAGU
rnacentral:rRNA from 1 species